rnacentral:rRNA from 1 species
UACGAAGGGGGCUAGCGUUGUUCGGAAUUACUGGGCGUAAAGGGCGCGCAGGCGGCCCUCCAAGUCAGGCGUGAAAGCCCCGGGCUCAACCCGGGAAUAGCGCUUGAGACUGGGGGGCUUGAGUUCGGGAGAGGAGAGUGGAAUUCCCAGUGUAGAGGUGAAAUUCGUAGAUAUUGGGAAGAACACCAGUGGCGAAGGCGGCUCACUGGCCCGGUACUGACGCUGAGGUGCGAAAGCGUGGGGAGCAAACAGG